rnacentral:rRNA from 1 species
CUAGACCUGAAAUCAGUCGAGGUUACCCGCUGAAUUUAAGCAUAUUACUAAGCGGAGGAAAAGAAAAUAACUAUGAUUCCCUCAGUAACGGCGAGUGAAGCGGGAAGAGCUCAAAGUGAAAAUCGCUGUUUCUUUUGGAACUGCGAAUUGUAGCCUCUAGAGGCGUUGCCAGUGGAAAGGCAGGUCUAAGUUUCUUGGAACAGAACUUCAAAGAGGAGUGAAGCGGGAAGAGCUCAAAGUGAAAAUCGCUGUUUCUUUUGGAACUGCGAAUUGUAGCCUCUAGAGGCGUUGCCAGUGGAAAGGCAGGUCUAAGUUUCUUG